UACGAAGGGUGCUAGCGUUGUUCGGAAUCACUGGGCGUAAAGCGCACGUAGGCGGAUUUGUCAGUCAGGGGUGAAAUCCCGGGGCUCAACCUCGGAACUGCCUUUGAUACAGCAAGUCUUGAGUUCGAGAGAGGUGGGUGGAAUUCCUAGUGUAGAGGUGAAAUUCGUAGAUAUUAGGAAGAACACCGGUGGCGAAGGCGGCCCACUGGCGCGAUACUGACGCUGAGGUGCGAAAGCGUGGGGAGCAAACAGG
rnacentral:rRNA from 1 species